GAUAAUCCAUCGAAAGGCGGACUAAUACCGCGUGUGGUGGUGGGGGUCAUGCCUCAUCACUAAAGCCUUCGGGCGCUUGGGGAUGGGCUUGCGUCCUAUUAGCUAGUUGGUAGGGUAAUGGCCUACCAAGGCGAUGAUGGGUAGCUGGUUUGAGAGGACGGCCAGCCACACUGGGACUGAGACACGGCCCAGACUCCUACGGGAGGCAGCAGCAAGGAAUAUUGUGCAAUGGGCGAAAGCCUGACACAGCGACGCCGCGUGGGGGAAGAAAGCCUUCGGGUUGUAAACCCCUUUUCUCGGGGAAGAAUAAUGACGGUACCCGAGGAAUAAGUCUCGGCUAACUACGUGCCAGCAGCCGCGGUAAUACGUAGGAGGCGAGCGUUAUCCGGAUUCACUGGGCGUAAAGCGGGCGCAGGCGGCUCUUCAAGUCGGAUGUGAAAUUUCCCGGCUUAACCGGGAGGGGCCAUUCGAUACUGUUGGGCUAGAGUGCAGUAGAGGGAGGUGGAAUUCCCGGUGUAGUGGUGAAAUGCGUAGAUAUCGGGAGGAACACCAGUGGCGAAGGCGGCCUCCUGGGCUGUUACUGACGCUGAGGCCCGAAAGCGUGGGGAGCGAACAGGAUUAGAUACCCUGGUAGUCCACGCCCUAAACUGUGGACACUAGGUAUGGGGAGUAUCGACCCUCCCCGUGCCGUAGCUAACGUGUUAAGUGUCCCGCCUGGGGACUACGGCCGCAAGGCUAAAACUCAAAGGAAUUGACGG
rnacentral:rRNA from 1 species